UACUUGCAUGCUAAAGCUAGCAUGCUUGACACUCUUCUGAACUGUUACUAAUUCCUUAUGCCUUACAAUAUCUCAAAUUGACUGGUAGAAGCGAUGAAACUGUGGCAAUGAUUGAAGGUUAUCUUCGAGCAAAUAAAUUGUUUGUUGACUAUAAUGAGGACCCAACUCUAUCCUCUACUUGCAAAGUUCAGUGAGCAGAUGGUCUCACUCAAGUCAUUUUCAUGAAGACUAAUCUGAAGAAACUCUUGAAGUCUCCUCCUAGAGAGUCUUGAAGCAAGUGG